ACUGCCCUUCCGGCCCUCAGAGGGGUGGGCGUGGCCAUGCGCUGGGCGGGGCUAAGGCUUCCUUGUCCCAAGUCCCCAGGCCUAGGACAGUUGCUGUACAGCCUCAUAAACUAACUCAGUUUCCACCUGCUGUGAAGACAAAAUCUACUCCUCAGUGAAGUACUACUGAUUGGAUGAUUAACUUUGUUAAAAAACGUUUCUAUAGUCUCACAUGGAACAGUUCUAAUUCCGGGGAAGACUGGCCUUUCAUGUGUAAAUUACUAUAACUCUUAUUUGUGGAUAACAACUUGAUUUGUCCUAUUACCUAGGUAUUUUCUACAUUCCAGUUUGUGGAAAUAAAUGGAAAGUCACACUUCUGAAGAUAAUAAGGCUAUACUACUUAAAAAAAAUUUUUAAUGAAGUUAUAUUUUCCACAGAUUCAAAAUAUUAUUAGUAAUAGGGGCAGAAAUAAAAGGCCAAAUAUGUGAGAAAACAGGACUCCAUAGAUUUUGUUUGCAUGACCAAAUCUCAUUCAUUAUUUUAUAUCAGAAAAAGAAAUGGGAUCCAACCACUCUCAGCUUUCUGGAGGUGGAGGCAGGAGGAUCAGAGGAUCAAGUUCAUCCUCAACCUAGGUAACAGGUUCAAGGCUGGCCUGGGCUACAUG